GGGCAUGAGGGUAAUCUGGCUGCUACACCUGUCUCGGCAUUGAUCGUCAGGGUUGAUUCGGCUGACCUGGCUGGUGAGGUGCGUUUCCCUUCCUCCCUCCCUGCUCCACGUGCAUCCCUCCCAAAGCUGUGAAGCUGCGCUUUAGGUGGAAGAGGACCUUCUUUGGUCAAGGGUAUAGGAGUAGCUGUGCUCCCCUGCUAGAACCUUCAGAUAAACUCUCAAGCACCAUUUGUAGGAGAAAGCAGGGCAGUCAAGUCUCCAAGACUCGGAGACACUGCAUGUUUACGGCGGCCUUAAUUA
rnacentral:snRNA from 1 species